AAUUCACUUUUUUCAAAAAGACUACACAACUCUUGCACAAUGCACAAUCACGACUGCAAAUAUCAUUUCUCAUGGUUAUAUAUGCAUAGACUCUCCCAAAUUCAGGAAAUGAAAAUUUUACAUAUCACUGAGAUGACAUACCCAUCAAUCUUUGAGUUUUUUCUUUUAAGAAAUAAAAGUAUUAUGCAAUAUACAUAUAUAAUUCGAAGAAAGUGUGAUGCAAAGACAGUAAUUCGUCGAGUGCCUUGAGUUUGAAGACAAGGAAAAAGUCACCGGCCCAAAUUUUGGGCCGCGUUAUAUCACGGAUGUGAAGCCCAAUAUUACAGCACAGAUUUAAGACUACUCGUCGGAUAAAAAAUAAGCCCAAUCUUCUCCUGAGACAGAAUGUCGCCGACUUAUCCACUAGGGUUUCUCUAAGAGCUAUAAAUACUCUCUAAGGCCCCGUCUCAGUACAAAUUGCACUCUGCUCAGCGUUAUUCUGACUACUCUAGGGCUCUGGAAGCAAGGAAGCGAACAAACAUAGCCACCCAAUCACCAUGAGAGCCAAGUGGAAGAAGAAGCGCAUGAGGAGGUUGAAGCGGAAACGCCGAAAGAUGAGGCAGCGAUCCAAGUAGUUCUAUUAUCAAUAAAUUGUCGUUUUCUGUGUAAUGGUUGGUGAUUAGAGAUUAGUAGUGUUCUCCGUUUUUUAUGUUUGUACUAAAGCUCUGAAAACUUUGGAAUUCUGUACUGCUUAAUGAGAUUUUGAUACUUUUAAACUAAGGUUAUAGUGAUGAGGAAUUCGAGUUGUAUCUCGUAACCUUAAUGGAUAAUUUGGAUAUUUCCGAUUUA